UCCAUCACACUUGUGAAAGAGGAAUGGCACUUCCUUUCUGGGCAAGGAGGUGUAAGCAUAAAGCUGUGUCUGAGGUGAGCAGAUAUGAUGAGGUGGCACAUAGAUGUAUCUUGACAGUUACCUUUUAGGAAGAACACGUCUGCUUUAAAUGUUUCUGUUAAGACUUGUCUGCAUCACUUACGCUUUCUCUUGCUAAGCGUGGUUCCUCUGCAUGCUGCCUUCAUCCUCCUACCUGCAAGGAGCCUGACCUUCACCCAGGUGGCAUCAGUACAUCAGCGUGCUCUGUACAGGAUGACCACCUACUAAUAAGAAAAAAGGAGUGACACCCAGGUUACUGCAGACUGAGCUGAGUGAAGAACACUGUCAAUCUCCAUCUCUGUGCCAAGAAAACUGGCUACAAGCAAGUGACCAUGCUAUUUUAUGAGCUUCUUUCAUACAACUGUGCUGCAAAA